UACGGAGGGGGCUAGCGUUGUUCGGAAUUACUGGGCGUAAAGCGCACGUAGACGGCUUUGCAAGUCAGAGGUGAAAGCCCGGGGCUCAACCCCGGAAUAGCCUUUGAGACUGCAUCGCUUGAACGCGGGAGAGGUGAGUGGAAUUCCGAGUGUAGAGGUGAAAUUCGUAGAUAUUCGGAAGAACACCAGUGGCGAAGGCGGCUCACUGGACCGUUGUUGACGCUGAGGUGCGAAAGCGUGGGGAGCAAACAGG
rnacentral:rRNA from 1 species